rnacentral:lncRNA from 1 species
ACCAAACGAGAGACGGGAUUAAUGAGAUUGAAAGUUUAUUAUUUUUAUAUUUAAUAUAUCUCUUAACCACGAAAUUAUCUCCUUUUUUAAAGUUUUAUCUAGCAUAUCAUGUCGGAAGUGCUGAUUGGUGCAGAAAUCGUCACCAGUCACUUGUCAGGAAAAGCUAGUGAUGGAUCAAAAUAGACGACAGUCCUUUAUCAGUUCCGUUAGAGUCGAAUAUAUGACAGAAAUAUUACUCGUUAUGGAAAAUACAGCCGAUGCGUUCCACUUGGUUUAUUUGUCUCCUGGUGAACUGUUUCGAACCAUCCGGAAGAUUGGUUUUUAAGCGAGCGAAACAGAGCUACACUGUUAUAAUUUGCUUCUAUCUGCGAUGUUGCAGUCGUAAUUGGUCGUAUCGAUGUUUGUUUAAUAGCCCGAGUAUGUUUUUUUUCCUCGAGUUUAAUUUCCGACAGUCGACGCUUUAAAUUUCUCCGAUAAAAAUGCAUUAUUCGAUAUUUGGUUUGCUUUUAGGAAGAAAAAAAAGUGUCGAAUUAAGUAAAGGUUAAUCUGUUAAAUCUGUAUAGCCUUCGCAACACAUUAGCCAACAGACCAGUAACAGGGGAGGGGUAGUAAAAGACUCGAUCGAGAACCAGUCUUGGGUUGAAGUGAAUGAGAUAAGAUGCCAUUUCCUGUGUACCUGGAGGACCAGUUUGGCCCUGACCCGCCACAAAAGAGGGGGCCCGUCCUACACACAUACACACAAGACCCACCUGUCACUACAUUUCCUGUCGUCUGAUAGCUGCUAAAUUUAAUGCCGCCGCAUUCAAGGCUCUGUCAUUAAGACAACGUUUUUCCCCGGCCAAAUUACGCAUUCUGUAAUAUUCCUGUCUCGUUGCCGGUAUGACAACCCGCAUUUAACGAAAGAAAGUAAAGAUUUUUAUAUAUUUUUAAGAGGUUUUUUACUAAUGUUUAUCGUCGAAGAUAGCUGCAGUUAUAGGACAGAUGUUUGAAGAUGUUAAAUUUAUAUUCUGCACGACUUUAAUUAAAAAGAGCAUUUAAUAUCAAUUAAAGACGUGCGGCGAAUCGUUUUCUGUCAGAGUCGAACGAAAAAAAAUUGCAGGGCAAAAGAAAGAGGAAAAAACUUGGUGGAUAUCUAGGCGAGGGAAAUAAACGGCUAUAAAUGGCCUGAUGGUGUGCGCAUGUCUGCAAAGUUGCCGAGAAACUCCGGCGGACCCCUCAGAGUAAUGAAAUAGAUAGCAAAUUCCAGACAUUCCAUUCUGCAGCGUUGUCUGCUUUCGUGCUCCAUGUGGUAUGAAACGUUAGGAGACGUUCGAUCGCAAUGAGCGAGACAGCUGGCUGGCUCACGUAUACCCGUUGCUUUAUAUAUUCCGGCCAUAAUUGAACAUUCCUGACAUAGUUUUGUCGUUCUGUGUGCAGCUCCUUUGUGUCCGUAAGGCUGUAUCACGAAAAGUCUAGGGAUGGCGGUCGAUUUGGUGAUAACAAUCACUUUUAGGUUUCUUUCCCACCCGGUGCGGCCAGGAAUUUGACUGUGGUACAGUUGAAAUGGGAAAAGAGCGCACUUUUUCUUUAUAUCUCUCUAUCACUUUUCACUAUUUUUGUUUUCUUUCGUCCAGUCGGUUUUUUACUCUUUUCUUUAAAUUUUUCGAGUGAUUCUAUUUCAUGGAAUGUCUAUUUUGAAAGGAAAUUUCAUUUUGUUGCUGGCUGAGUUAUUUACUUAUUGGAGUGUGCAAAUGCAGCAUGAUGUUUUCUUUUGUAAAUCUAUACUAGAAUUAGUGAAC